CAUUAAGAAGAACACUGGAAUAGGAAAAAUAUUGAAUGAUACUUUCAAGAGCUAUCUAGAGAAGAUAAUUAUGUUUAUAUAAUAAUAUUAGACAAUUAUUCACAGAAAAACUUGCUUUAGGUAAGAAAAAAACUGUCAAUGAGAAUUUUUUUAAGUAAAAAAUUGAUCUUGUGCAGGCUGCCAGAUACUAUUUCUAAAGGCCACCGAUUAGUAGUUUUGACAUGUGCAUGAAGUCACAGAGCCUAAUGACAUAGCUAGGUUCACUACCUGAGAAUACUGAGCUCAGAGUUUCCAGGCAGUGGAUUUAAUCCAUCUCAAAUCUCACCACCAAAAUGUUUAUAUCCCUAACUUGCUUUACAUUACAUGUGCUUCUUCCAGGCUUUAGAGAAGUUCAGUAGAUAAAUUUUAUAUUCAUAGAUUUUAGAGUUAAGAAACAGUUAUUUACAAUAGUUAUUAAAUUCUAUGUUAAAGCAUUCAUAUUUGGAUCUUGGAUUGCAUAUCAUUGGUAACAUGUUUGUAUUACAUCAAGAGGCCUUGAAAUUUUAUUCCAAGAAUUCUAUAAAAAGCUGGCAGCAGUAAUUCCUAUAACAUUAGUUUGGGGUAUUUAAAGAGAAAUGAAUACCUGGUUUUCAUUUGCUAACCAGGUUUGCCAAAUUGGUGGGAUCCAAAGUCAAUGGGCCAUUUCUUAGUACGUAAGGCAAUAGCAAUAUGAGAAGACAAUUAAUACUGUCUAGCGUCCACACACAACAACAUAUAACCUCAGACCCAUGCACACAUAUACACACAUAAACCUAAAGCAGUGAUUCUGGGUUAUAAAUAUGAAGUCCAUGUAAAGCAUAGAAAAUUGGACAAAUAUUUACAUUUAAAGCCAAUUAAUUUCUUAAUGUACACUUUUGAAGUAUUAGGGAGGAACAAUGAUUGUAAAUGUGAGAAGAUCAGGGAGUUUGUUGUGAAAUUGUGUCUACUAGAAGUGUUAGAAGCUGCACUGUAAGUCUCAACCACUGAGUGCUCAAACAUGAGCUGAACAAGGGAAACAACAACAGAUGUAUCAAAGUGGGCAGGGGACAGACCUGGAGGCCUCAACCUU
rnacentral:lncRNA from 1 species